rnacentral:misc_RNA from 1 species
AAGUCGUAACAAGGUUUCCGUAGGUGAACCUGCGGAAGGAUCAUUAACACGUACCCAACGUAUCAACCCCUUUAUACGAACCAUUAACCCGCCCUUUGCCUACGUUUGAGUCAAAAACUUGUUUUUGGCGAAGCAGCUUGUAAUUGGGAACGAUUACAUUGCUGGCGCUCUGUCUUGCAAAAGACAUCCGCGUAGAACUGUGUGCCUUUUUUUUCAACCCAUUCUCUGGUUUGACGAAAUUAACACUUCUUGUAUUUUUUUGCGCAAGCAAAAGGGCAGGAUUUUAUUUAUUGAACUUAAACAACUUUUAGCAACGGAUGUCUUGGUUCUC